rnacentral:rRNA from 1 species
CCUAUCCGCCUGGAAACUACGAGCAACAGCUUAAAACCCAAAGGACUUGGCGGUGCUUUAGACCCAUCUAGAGGAGCCUGUUCUAUAACCGAUUACCCCCGUUUAACCUCACCUUUCCUAGUCAACCCCGCCUAUAUACCGCCGUCGCCAGCUUACCCUGUGAAGGUCCCCUAGUAAGCUUAAUUGGUACAACCCAAAACGUCAGGUCGAGGUGUAGCGUAUGGAAGGGGAAGAAAUGGGCUACAUUCCCUGUCACAGCGAAUCACGAAUAAUAAUACUGAAACGUGUAUCUAGAAGGAGGAUUUAGCAGUAAGCAGAAAGCAGAGCGUUCCGCUG